rnacentral:misc_RNA from 1 species
AGGCACACGCACACACACUCUGUCUGUGGGAAGCAGCCAGGCCGCCCACACCACCACACCCCAUCCCCUGCCAAUGCCGAGCCGCCUCUGGUGGGGUAAGAGGGUGGAGCGCUGACGAGGUAGGGAGCUCAGAGCGCCCCAUCGCUACGGAUGUCGGCGGUGAGGUCCUGCACGGUGCUGCGUCGGAGCGACCGGCGACCGUGCCCACGUCUGUGCCGUCCAUGUGAUGGGCAGAGUGUCGGCGUGACUCGAGCGCAUCCCACCCCCGGCCCUCACACUGCCCACCGGUGGGGGAGUCUGAGUGCCACCCCGAGGGGGGAUGCGCCAGGGAUGGCGACCUGCGAAGAGGCGGGUGGGCGGGUAGAGUUUGGUGCAGGGGGGCCGCGCUCAGACGACGGAGUCGGCGCGCCGCUGUAACGCGGGUGUCGGCGGCUGCGUCGCACCUGGGGGUGGGGGUAGAGAGUGGCGUGUGGUUUGAGCCUGUGCCAUGCUGCCGCAGGGAAUGGGGCACGCACACACACACACACACACACACGUGCUGUGGAGACGACAAAAACGUUUCUUCGCCUUCGCCAAUGGGCGAUGCGCAUGUAUUCUGCGUUUUGCACGUCACGACGCUUCCCUUGCGUCGGCCGCUGCUGUCGUUGCGGUUGGCGUUCCGACCUUCUCUCUCCCACCUUCACUUCGUCUUCUCCGUUCCUGUCUCAG